GAUGAAGAACGUAGCGAAAUGCGAUAAGUAGUGUGAAUUGCAGAAUUCAGUGAAUCAUCGAAUCUUUGAACGCACAUUGCGCCCCUUGGUAUUCCAUGGGGCAUGCCUGUUCGAGCGUCAUUUGUACCUUCAAGCUUUGCUUGGUGUUGGGUGUUUGUCCCUCGGGACUCGCCUUAAAGUCAUUGGCAGCCCGUGUUUUGGUUUUGAAGCGCAGCACAAGUCGCGAUUCAAGGCUAUCCGCCCGCUUCCACAAGCCUUUUUCACUUUUGACCUCGGAUCAGGUAGGGAUACCCGCUGAACUUAAGCAUAUCAAUAAGCGGAGGA
rnacentral:misc_RNA from 1 species